rnacentral:rRNA from 1 species
GACAGAGGGGGCAAGCGUUGCUCGGAAUUACUGGGCGUAAAGGGCGCGUAGGCGGCAAUUCAAGUCAGCUGUGAAAUCUCCGGGCUUAACUCGGAACGGUCAGCUGAUACUGCUUUGCUAGAGUGCGGAAGGGGCAAUCGGAAUUCUCGGUGUAGCGGUGAAAUGCGUAGAUAUCGAGAGGAACACCUGAGGUGAAGACGGGUUGCUGGGCCGACACGUGACGCUGACAGCGCGAAAGCCAGGGGAGCAAACGGG